UCAUCGUCAACACCAAAAAGCCAAACAAUGGCAGAUGGUGGAGUUUGAAAAGAAUAAUUGAGACUCUUUGAAUGGUGAUUGAAGUUCAACUGAUACUCAGACCAUGUUGCUUGAAAGAUCCCAAUAAUGAGGUUUUUUAAUACCGGAAACUGUAGAGGGUUCUUUGUUUCCGGCGGUGGAAUGGACGCAUCAAUCACUGGGUUUGAAGAGGGGUUAUCACAUUCAUAGUCAGCCUAGGGUUAGGAUGAAGAUGCAGUGAGAUGACGGCACAGGACAUCUUAAUUUAUGCAAAAAAAUCUGAUUUGUUUCGAUUCAGUAUGGAGACCACUCCACUCCAGUCGAUGAGGUAUUUGAAACGUUGAAAUUACAAAUGAGGGAUUGACGAGUGAAGAAGGGAAUAAGAGGCUUAAUGUAUUGGCCCUAACAAGCUAGAAGAGAACAAGCAAGUCAAGUCUUCUAGGAUUGCUUCGGCAGUUUCAAGGCAAAAGGAUGCUGCUGCUGAGUUGGAUAAAGCACCACAAUGUGAAAGAAGUAUCAAGUGAUGCACAUUUCUUAAAUUAACAAGUGUAGUGUGCAGAUUUAGUUUGUUGUGAUGGGCUUCUUUGGAAAUUCAUGGUGAGCAGUUACCGCCAAACAUCCAGAAAGGAUAUGCAUAAGUUGCUCUGAAUCAGGUUGUCUCAUUUGUUGUUCCACACUCCCAUAGCCAUCUUCUUGUCCUCACAAACAGAUUUCAUAUUGGAUGCUCUAAAUGAUUCAAAGACUGGUGUUGUAGGGUUUCUCUUCAGUUAGCAGGCCCUGUUCAUUACACGACGUUUAUACAAUUGUCGCCCAGCUAAACAUUAUUAAUCAAUGAAUUGUUUAACGUUACCGGAAAUCUGCUAUAGACGCACAUGAAUCGGACAAACCUCAAGUUCAAGAAACGAUUGAAUGUGCUAGGGGUUGAAAUCUUUUCAUGUUGCAAGGAGAUUGUUUAAAUAUGACACAUUACAAGGUGUUCAGAAAGAACGAGUCUUGAGGUUAAUGAACUAGAAAGAACAAAGAAUGACAACAUGAACUACAAUACUCAUAGGACGGUAUCUCUGAUGGAAAAAAAAAGUGACAGUAUGAAGAAUUCCAAUGCUGCUAAGAUGGUACCUCAGAUUUAGCUUCCUUAUUUUAGAGGUGGUCUUAUGUUAACAAAUGAGUCAAAACCAGACAUUUUAGAUGUGGUCAUUAUUUUAAGAAAUGAGUCAAAUGAAGUAAUAUUAUAUCUUCUAACCAGACAGAUGGAAAAUUUCUAAACAGACAAGGUCAAAAGGGCCGAAACCUCAUUUGUAUGCAUAUCCAUGUCCUUUUAUCUAGAUGAUCAUUUAUAUAGUAAAAUGGCACAAGUUGU
rnacentral:lncRNA from 1 species